rnacentral:rRNA from 1 species
CCUACGGGGGGCAGCAGUGAGGAAUAUUGGUCAAUGGACGAGAGUCUGAACCAGCCAAGUAGCGUGAAGGAUGACUGCCCUAUGGGUUGUAAACUUCUUUUAUAUGGGAAUAAAACGUUCCACGUGUGGGAUUUUGUAUGUACCAUAUGAAUAAGGAUCGGCUAACUCCGUGCCAGCAGCCGCGGUAAUACGGAGGAUCCGAGCGUUAUCCGGAUUUAUUGGGUUUAAAGGGAGCGUAGGUGGAUUGUUAAGUCAGUUGUGAAAGUUUGCGGCUCAACCGUAAAAUUGCAGUUGAAACUGGCAGUCUUGAGGACAGUAGAGGUGGGCGGAAUUCGUGGUGUAGCGGUGAAAUGCUUAGAUAUCACGAAGAACUCCGAUUGCGAAGGCAGUUCACUGGACUGCAACUGACACUGAGGCUCGAAAGUGUGGGUAUCAAACAGGAUUAGAUACCCGAGUAGUC